GGCGGACGGGUGAGUAACACGUGGAUAACCUACCUAUAAGACUGGGAUAACUUCGGGAAACCGGAGCUAAUACCGGAUAAUAUAUUGAACCGCAUGGUUCAAUAGUGAAAGACGGUUUUGCUGUCACUUAUAGAUGGAUCCGCGCCGCAUUAGCUAGUUGGUAAGGUAACGGCUUACCAAGGCAACGAUGCGUAGCCGACCUGAGAGGGUGAUCGGCCACACUGGAACUGAGACACGGUCCAGACUCCUACGGGAGGCAGCAGUAGGGAAUCUUCCGCAAUGGGCGAAAGCCUGACGGAGCAACGCCGCGUGAGUGAUGAAGGUCUUCGGAUCGUAAAACUCUGUUAUUAGGGAAGAACAAAUGUGUAAGUAACUGUGCACGUCUUGACGGUACCUGAUCAGAAAGCCACGGCUAACUACGUGCCAGCAGCCGCGGUAAUACGUAGGUGGCAAGCGUUAUCCGGAAUUAUUGGGCGUAAAGCGCGCGUAGGCGGUUUUUUAAGUCUGAUGUGAAAGCCCACGGCUCAACCCGUGGAGGGUCAUUGGAAACUGGAAAACUUGAGUGCAGAAGAGGAGAAGUGGAAUUCCAUGUGUAGCGGUGAAAUGCGCAGAGAUAUGGAGGAACACCAGUGGCGAAGGCGACUUUCUGGUCUGUAACUGACGCUGAUGUGCGAAAGCGUGGGGGAUCAAACAGGAUUAGAUACCCUGGUAGUCCACGCCGUAAACGAUGAGUGCUAAGUGUUAGGGGGUUUCCGCCCCUUAGUGCUGCAGCUAACGCAUUAAGCACUCCGCCUGGGGAGUACGACCGCAAGGUUGAAACUCAAAGGAAUUGACGGGGACCCGCACAAGCGGUGGAGCAUGUGGUUUUUUUCUAAGCACGCGAAGAACCUUCCCAUAUUUUGACAUUC
rnacentral:rRNA from 1 species